rnacentral:ncRNA from 2 species
AGACACACCCACGGGCGCCCGAGGCAUCGGGCUGAGAUCGCGCUGUAACCCGCGCGAGACACCGUUCGAACCUGUCCGGCUAGCACCGGCGAAGGAAGUGAGGGCAUGCCGCCA